GAUGAACGCUAGCGGCAGGCCUAACACAUGCAAGUCAAGGGGUAACAGGGAGUGCUUGCACUCUGCUGACGACCGGCGCACGGGUGCGGAACGCGUAUGGAACCUGCCCCUGUCAGGGGAAUAGCCCAGAGAAAUUUGGAUUAAUGCCCCAUGGUAUCGAACCACCGCAUGGUGGUUUGAUUAAAGAUUUAUCGGACAGGGACGGCCAUGCGUACCAUUAGCUAGUUGGUGAGGUAACGGCUCACCAAAGCAACGAUGGUUAGGGGCCCUGAGAGGGGGAUCCCCCACACUGGUACUGAGACGCGGACCAGACUCCUACGGGAGGCAGCAGUGAGGAAUAUUGGACAAUGGCCGAAAGGUUGAUCCAGCCAUGCCGCGUGCAGGAUGACGGCCCUAUGGGUUGUAAACUGCUUUUACAUGGGAAGAAACCUCCCCUCGUGAGGGGAGCUGACGGUACCAUGAGAAUAAGGACCGGCUAACUCCGUGCCAGCAGCCGCGGUAAUACGGAGGGUCCGAGCGUUAUCCGGAAUCAUUGGGUUUAAAGGGUCCGUAGGCGGGCCUAUAAGUCAGGGGUGAAAGGCCACGGCUCAACCGUGGGACUGCCCUUGAUACUGUAGGUCUUGAGUUAUAGUGGGGUUGCCAGAACAUGUGGUGUAGCGGUGAAAUGCAUAGAUAUCACAUAGAACACCGAUCGCGAAGGCAGGUGACCAACUAUAUACUGACGCUGAUGGACGAAAGCGUGGGUAGCGAACGGGAUUAGAUACCCCGGUAGUCCACGCCGUAAACGAUGGAUACUAGCU
rnacentral:rRNA from 1 species